GAUUGACGAGGGAGGAGCUGCAAAUGAACGAGGCCCCUGGAAUCGUAACACAACGACAAGGGCGGCUUCAUCUUGUUGCCAAACCAUGGGGUGCUUAGAAAAGGAAACUAGUAAAUAGUAAUAACUUGUUGUGUGCAUGCUAUGACGUAAAUGAUGCAUAUGAACUCCGAACCUGAGCAUUAUCAUAAGCCCAUCGAACGAUGCCACAAUGUUCCUCAAACAGUGAUGCUUAAACACUUGUAUCUACCUUUCGGCAUUCUAAUGUUGGUGCUUCAAUAAUACACUGUUGUGUGUAUGCUGUGAUCUGCAUGAUGCAUGUGGAACGCUGUAUAGCACCUGUCUAUCUCGAAUUAUAACACUAUAUAGCACCUACCUUCAGAUGUUCUUCGAGCUGUGAUGCCAAAAUAAUUGUAUCCACCUUUCCGAUUGUCCCGAGGCCCCCUGUCUACCUCGGAAGCACAAAUAAAUGAGGCCCAAUAUGAACUUUGAGCAUAUAAAACAAGAAUCCACAAAAGUAUAUUAUAAUCUCCUCUCAAUAGCGCAAAUGUUCUCACACAUCACAUCUUUUAGAUUAGAACGCAUUAGCAUCCAAAGAACAAUCAGCAAAAAGCAUAUAUAAAGCUCUUUUUGCCUCAUCAACAUUGCGCCUAUCUCUUCUUUAAGCAAAACGGAGAAUUUUCUCUGAAUUAAUUUCAUUGCAUAAAUAAACAACAAUACAACAAAGCACAAAAAUCCAUAGCUUACUCA
rnacentral:lncRNA from 1 species